AUUGAACGCUGGCGGCGUGCCUUACACAUGCAAGUCGAACGGUAACGGGCCUUCGGGUGCCGACGAGUGGCGAACGGGUGAGUAAUGUAUCGGAACGUACCUUUCAGUGGGGGAUAACGUAGCGAAAGUUACACUAAUACCGCAUAUUCUGUGAGCAGGAAAGCAGGGGAUCGCAAGACCUUGCGCUGAUUGAGCGGCCGAUAUCAGAUUAGCUAGUUGGUGAGGUAAAGGCUCACCAAGGCGACGAUCUGUAGCGGGUCUGAGAGGAUGAUCCGCCACACUGGAACUGAGACACGGUCCAGACUCCUACGGGAGGCAGCAGUGGGGAAUUUUGGACAAUGGGGGCAACCCUGAUCCAGCCAUGCCGCGUGAGUGAAGAAGGCCUUCGGGUUGUAAAGCUCUUUCGGCCGGGAAGAAAUCGUAUCAGCUAAUACCUGGUGCGGAUGACGGUACCGGCAUAAGAAGCACCGGCUAACUACGUGCCAGCAGCCGCGGUAACAC
rnacentral:rRNA from 1 species